GUCCUACGGGAGGAAAGACGGGGGGAGUCUUCGGACCUCGCGCCACUUAGAUGAGCCUAGGUCGGAUUAGCUAGUUGGUGAGGUAAUGGCUCACCAAGGCGACGAUCCGUAACUGGUCUGAGAGGAUGAUCAGUCACACUGGAACUGAGACACGGUCCAGACUCCUACGGGAGGCAGCAGUGGGGAAUAUUGGACAAUGGGCGAAAGCCUGAUCCAGCCAUGCCGCGUGUGUGAAGAAGGUCUUCGGAUUGUAAAGCACUUUCAGCGAGGAGGAAGGGUUAGUAGUUAAUAGCUGCUAAUUUUGACGUUACUCGCAGAAGAAGCACCGGCUAACUCUGUG
rnacentral:rRNA from 1 species